GGGACUAAUAGUGCAACACAACAC
rnacentral:miRNA from 1 species